GUCAGGAUGGCCGAGUGGUCUAAGGCGCCAGACUCAAUGUGAAAAGCCUUCCUGGUUGUAGGGGUGUUCUGGUCUCUGAUUAGAGCCGAGUGUUCAAAUCAUCUUAUGACU
rnacentral:tRNA from 1 species